rnacentral:rRNA from 1 species
UACGGAGGGUGCAAGCGUUAUCCGGAUUCACUGGGUUUAAAGGGUGCGUAGGUGGGUUGGUAAGUCAGUGGUGAAAUCCCCGAGCUUAACUUGGGAACUGCCAUUGAUACUAUCAGUCUUGAAUACCGUGGAGGUUAGCGGAAUAUGUCAUGUAGCGGUGAAAUGUUUAGAUAUGACAUAGAACACCAAUUGCGAAGGCAGCUGGCUACACGAAUAUUGACACUGAGGCACGAAAGCGUGGGGAUCAAACAGG